rnacentral:rRNA from 1 species
GAUUAAGCCCAAAUCCCCUAAAACCACAAAAUCGUAUUUGAUUUUGAAAGCUAAGAAGGGUCAACCCUGGAUAGUACUUGGAUGUGAGGCCACUAGUGAAUAUCGGGUAUUGUAGGCU